GACGUAGGGCGCGAGCGUUGUCCGGAUUUAUUGGGCGUAAAGAGCUCGUAGGCGGCUUGUCGCGUCGUCCGUGAAAACCUGGGGCUCAACCCCAGGCUUGCGGUCGAUACGGGCAGGCUAGAGUUCGGUAGGGGAGACUGGAAUUCCUGGUGUAGCGGUGAAAUGCGCAGAUAUCAGGAGGAACACCGGUGGCGAAGGCGGGUCUCUGGGCAAUUCCUGACGCUGAGGCGCGAAAGCGUGGGGAGCAAACGGG
rnacentral:rRNA from 1 species